rnacentral:rRNA from 1 species
CCUACGGGCGACAGCAGUGAGGAAUAUUGGUCAAUGGACGAGAGCCUGAACCAGCCAAGUAGCGUGAGGGAUGACGGCCCUAUGGGUGGUAAACUUCUUUUACAUGGGAAUAAAACGUUCCACGUGUGGAAGUUUGCAUGUACCAUUUGAUUAAGGAUCGGCUAACUCCGUGCCAGCAGCCGCGGUAAUACGGAGGUGCCGAGCGUUAUCCGGAUUUAUUGGGUUUAAAGGGAGCGUAGGUGGAUUGUUAAGUCAGUUGUGAAAGUUUCCGGCUCAACCGUAAAACUGCAGUUGAAACUGGACGUCUGGAGUACAGUAGAGGUAGGCGGAAUUCGUGGUGUAGCGGUGAAAUGCUUAGAUAUCACGAGGAACUCCGAUUGCGAAGGCAGUUCACUGGACUGCAACUGACGCUGAGGCUCGAAAGUGUGGGUAUCAAACAGGAUUAGAUACCCGUGUAGUC